rnacentral:snoRNA from 1 species
CGCCCCCAGGUUCCUUACAGAUCUAAACAUGGGUCUGAGCGGCUAUCGAAGGAGGAAAAGUAGAACUGAAGCCGACUUGGAUUCUCUAGCAAUAAACAAGUUCGUUUCAAACAACA